CCUACGGGUGGCAGCAGUGAGGAAUAUUGGUCAAUGGGCGCUAGCCUGAACCAGCCAAGUAGCGUGAAGGAUGACUGCCCUAUGGGUUGUAAACUUCUUUUAUAUGGGAAUAAAAUGCAGUAUGUAUACUUCUUUGCAUGUACCUUAUGAAUAAGGAUCGGCUAACUCCGUGCCAGCAGCCGCGGUAAUACGGAGGAUCCGAGCGUUAUCCGGAUUUAUUGGGUUUAAAGGGAGCGUAGGCGGGUUGUUAAGUCAGUUGUGAAAGUUUGCGGCUCAACCGUAAAAUUGCAGUUGAUACUGGCAUCCUUGAGUACAGUAGAGGUAGGCGGAAUUCGUGGUGUAGCGGUGAAAUGCUUAGAUAUCACGAAGAACUCCGAUUGCGAAGGCAGCCUACUAGACUGUCACUGACGCUGAUGCUCGAAAGUGUGGGUAUCAAACAGGAUUAGAUACACCAGUAGUC
rnacentral:rRNA from 1 species